rnacentral:rRNA from 1 species
CCUACGGGUGGCAGCAGUAGGGAAUUUUGCGCAAUGGGGGAAAGCCUGACGCAGCAACGCCGCGUGAGCGAAGAAGCUCUUCGGGGUGUAAAGAUCUGUUAGUGGGGAAGAAAACUGACGGUACCCACAGAGGGAGCACUGGCUAACUCCGGGCCAGCAGCCGCGGUAAUACGGGGGGUGCAAGCGUUGGCCGGAAUAAUUGGGCGUAAGGAGUUCGUAGGUGGCACGUUAAGUGUGGUGUUAAAGGCGGAAGCUCAACUUCCGUAGGGCACUGGAUACUGGCGAGCUUGAAUGCGGUAGAGGUAAGUGGAAUUCCUGGUGUAGCGGUGAAAUGCGUAGAUAUCAGGAGGAACAUCGGUGGCGAAGGCGCCUUACUGGGCCGUAAUUGACGCUGAGGAACGAAAGCGUGGGUAGCAAACAGGAUUAGAUACCCGGGUAGUC